rnacentral:rRNA from 1 species
CCUACGGGAGGCAGCAGUGAGGAAUAUUGGUCAAUGGACGAGAGUCUGAACCAGCCAAGUAGCGUGAAGGAUGACUGCCCUAUGGGUUGUAAACUUCUUUUAUAUGGGAAUAAAACGUUCCACGUGUGGGAUUUUGUAUGUACCAUAUGAAUAAGGAUCGGCUAACUCCGUGCCAGCAGCCGCGGUAAUAAGGGGGAUCCGAGCGUUAUCCGGAUUUAUUGGGUUUAAAGGGAGCGUAGGUGGAUUUUUAAGUCAGUUGUGAAAGUUUGCGGCUCAAACGUAAAAUUGCAGUUGAAACUGGCAGUCUUGAGUACAGUAGAGGUGGGCGGAAUUCGUGGUGUAGCGGUGAAAUGCUUAGAUAUCACGAAGAACUCCGAUUGCGAAGGCAGUUCACUGGACUGCAACUGACACUGAGGCUCGAAAGUGUGGGUAUCAAACAGGAUUAGAUACCCUUGUAGUC